GGGUAUGGAACGAAUGCUAAAACCGUCACGCCCUGUGACAACGCAUUCGUGACCAACAGCGUGUUGG
rnacentral:sRNA from 1 species